AGGAAAAGAAAGGAAAAAAAAAAAGAGGGAAAGAAGGGAAAAGAAGGACGCAGUUGCACGAUCUCUGUACUUUUGAAGAACUGCCAGACUCCAAAGGGUUGCCAGUGCACGAUCUCCAUACUGCCAGUAACUGCAACGACAACGUCGGGUUCAAAUGGAUCAGAUCGAAGAAGCAAACGAGAAAGGAACAAAAAGGAGAACAAAGAAACAAAGACAAGCAGAGCAAAACUAAAUCAAAAAGAAGGAGAAAAUUGAAGCAUCUUAUCGGCAGACGUGGGAUUUACCAUUUGUAUAACCCGCUUACCGAUUUCAGUAGCAAUCUUGAAAGAAAACUCAUACGGGUGGAAUAAAAAAGCAUAUCGAUGCGGACCUGUACAUCCACUCGUUAAGGCCGGUAUCUGAGCAGUUAGGCUUCCAGGAAACCCCUUUGUACUUUUCCAUCGGAACUAAAGGUUUUGCCGGUUGGCUUCUAAGAUGCUUUGGUAUAUUCUAACGCAAUGCAAUGGAAGCGAAAGGAAUGAACAAAGUAAUUGAACAAAAAAAGUAAAGAAAAACUAAUAGAGUGGGUUAAGGAGUGAACAAAGGAGGACAGAUCCGCCACUUCUUUCACCGACCCUCAAAGGCCUAUACCGUCUUAUUUUUCAGGUGUAUUUUUGAACUAUAUGAAAUUAUGAACUAUAUCAAUGAGAAUUCUGUAAACUAAGGAGAAUCAGUUUUUUAUGAUAUCAAUUGGUAGUUCAAAAGUUAGUAAGAGGGAACUAAUAAUUGGUGUCUACUAAAUAACUGGUGCGUUAGUUGUGGGUGAUUAUACUGAAACUUAUAGGUGGCAUACUAGUACUAUAUCUUGGGUUUUUUUAAUUGCAUAUUGUUGUCAGUCAUUAACCUUAUGUCUUAAUUGACAAGUACUUCUCAAGGGAUUGUCCAUUUCGUCGUUCAGGAAAUACUCUAUUGUCUUGAACAAACCAUUUAACACUCAAUUGCAUAUGUUACUGCUAACAGUUCUACAACAUCAAACGUAUAUAGGAAUUGAAGCGUAAUAUUGAGGUAAUUAAUCAUAAACCGUACUUGGUUAAAUCGGACAGAUA